GACGCCGUCGACAAGUGGUUAAGUCGCCGCCCUUUCAAGGCGGAAUCGCGGGUUCGAAUCCCGCCGGCGCCACCA
rnacentral:tRNA from 1 species